rnacentral:rRNA from 1 species
UAGGGAAUAUUGGGCAAUGGACGAAAGUCUGACCCAGCCACGCCGCGUGAAGGAUGACUGCCCUAUGGGUUGUAAACUUCUUUUGUAUGGGAAGAAACCUCCGAACGUGUUCGGAGCUGACGGUACCAUAAGAAUAAGCAUCGGCUAACUCCGUGCCAGCAGCCGCGGUAAUACGGAGGAUGCAAGCGUUGUCCGGAUUCAUUGGGUUUAAAGGGUGCGUAGGCGGAGAAUUAAGUCAGUGGUGAAAGCU